UACCCGCUGAACUUAAGCAUAUCAAUAAGCGGAGGAAAAGAAACUAACAAGGAUUCCCCUAGUAACUGCGAGUGAAGCGGGAAAAGCUCAAAUUUAAAAUCUGGCAGUCUUUUGGCUGUCCGAGUUGUAGUCUGGAGAAGUGCUUUCCGCGCUGGACCGUGUAUAAGUCUCUUGGAACAGAGCGUCAUAGAGGGUGAGAAUCCCGUCUUUGACACGGACUACCAGUGCUUUGUGAUGCGCUCUCAAAGAGUCGAGUUGUUUGGGAAUGCAGCUCAAAAUGGGUGGUGAAUUCCAUCUAAAGCUAAAUAUUGGCGAGAGACCGAUAGCGAACAAGUACCGUGAGGGAAAGAUGAAAAGCACUUUGGAAAGAGAGUUAAACAGUACGUGAAAUUGCUGAAAGGGAAACGCUUGAAGUCAGUCGCGUCGUCCGGAACUCAGCCUUGCUUUUGCUUGGUGCACUUUCCGGUUGACGGGUCAGCAUCGAUUUUGACCGUCGGAAAAGGGCUGGAGUAAUGUGGCACCCUCGGGUGUGUUAUAGACUCUAGUCGCAUACGGCGGUCGGGAUCGAGGAACGCAGCGCGCCGUAAGGCAGGGGUUCGCCCACUUUCGCGCUUAGGAUGCUGGCAUAAUGGCUUUAAACGACCCGUCUUGAAACACGGACCAAGGAGUCUAACAUACCUGCGAGUGUUUGGGUGGAAAACCCGAGCGCGUAAUGAAAGUGAAAGUUGAGACCCCUGUCGUGGGGGGCAUCGACGCCCGGACCUGACGUUCUCUGAAGGAUCCGCGGUAGAGCAUGUAUGUUGGGACCCGAAAGAUGGUGAACUAUGCCUGAAUAGGGUGAAGCCAGAGGAAACUCUGGUGGAGGCUCGUAGCGAUUCUGACGUGCAAAUCGAUCGUCAAAUUUGGGUAUAGGGGCGAAAGACUAA
rnacentral:rRNA from 1 species